GGGACACGGCGGCGGCGGGCAGCAGGAGGGGGGCGAUGGCGGCGGGGCGGGCGGCGCCGCGGCUGCUGCUGAUGCAGAGAGCCGGGCAGCAGCGGCGCAUGGGGCAGCAGCGGCGCCGCCGCCGGCCGGGCCAGGAGACCCCGGCAUCCCGAGGACCCCGUGAUUUGUGCCCAUAAUUCCUCGGAAAAAUCAGCCCGGAGGGACCGGCCUCUUCUGAUGCACGAGGCCUGCGUCCCCGCGAGCACAGCGUUCCCACCUGCUAACGAACGAACGAACGAACGUAACGGGGAGCUUCGUGCGGGGAAAGGCAGCUCCACGCAGGCCUAAUCCCUCACCUGCCCAUGUGCUGCUGCCACCUCACCGUGGCCAUGGAGAUCCCGCGAGCCGUCACCGCGCUCCCGUCCUCUGCCCUGCGAGAUAACUCAGCAAAAAAGCGUGCCGGCCCGCAGAUAACAGCAGAUAUUUAUCUCCUCGCCAGCCGGUGCAAGGUAUGAAACGGCACGGAGGACAGGAGGAAUCUGAAAGGCGGAAAAUUAAUUAAGAGGCUCUGCCGUUGCCUUGCUGUGAUCUUAGUAACUGAACCAUUAAAGCAAAGGUGAUUUCUUCUUCGUGGGGUAGUUACAUUCCCCUUCCUCUGUUACCGCUCCCUGCGCUAUGUUUGGGUCUUAGAGGUGCGUGCAUGUGCGUUUGCGAGCAAAUGCGUGGUCCUUGGUUCAACACGUUCAGUAACUAUUGAGCGAGGAGACGCAUUGUCCUCCCUUUCUGUUUUCUGUGGUUUUGCAUUAUCAUUUCUUUAAUAAACCAUGACAUGCUAUUUAUAUUGAUUCAAGGCCUGGAGACGCUUGUGUAGCUCGGGACUCACGGAUCAAUCCAGCCAGCCAUUGCCAUGGCGUAUCCCAGUGAUAUUAUUACACCGUUGUUUUUGAUCAAGACCUGCCAGUCUGGUUUUGUAUCAUGUUCUCAAAUACAUAUUCCUGCUGCGUUACAUGUCGUAAUGUUAAACAAAUAUACACAGGUUUUAGUAGAGACAAAGCAAGGGCUUAGUCUGGCAGAGGAUCCUUAGGAGAGACUUUCCAGCGUUAAUAGAUGCAUGCUCGAGUCCUGUGUUACAACAUGGAAGGAUUUUGGUACCGAAGUGCCACUUGAGAGCCCCAGCAAAGAGCAAUGGUCGUGUUCACCCGUAGCCCUGCAGCAGAGCGUUUGUCCUGAGCUCCCAUUUUGACCCUGGUCAAAAAUGAUGAAACGUUUGGAAAACACUCCUUGUCAUCAAAAAGUCCAGAAGUGCAAUGGGUGGCUUAACCGAAUGAAGGUUAAGGGGUGGGUUGGCUGCAAUUCAUAACUACGUGAGGUACAAAAACCUCAUGUUUUUGCAGAGGAACAGCCUCUCCCUGCAUCUAACAGAGAAGGAAAUAAGUUCUGCUAACUGGUUGAAGAACAGCUCAGGGGGCUGUGCUGUAUUUUAGGAGGGAGGACAGCUACUGGAAUAGGUACAGGUGUGGGGGAAUCUACCCUGCUGGCAGGUUUCUACUGUUUUUUUUUUUUUAAAGCUGUGUUACUCUUAGAAUGACCUAAUCUGGGAAACUCCUGCAACCACAGUUAUGCUGGAGUUCAGCGCUGACCAUCGCAAUGGUCCCUUCUGUAUAGUCUAUGCACGUCGCAAUGAGCAAGAGCCUUACGUUAAAGGAACAUACUGCUUUUUUGUUUGAAAUCUUUCUUAUGUUAAUAAUAACAGAGCAUUAAACUCAGACUGAUGAGCUUGUUUAAA